CUUUUGGGUUCCAGGUAGAACCCCUUGGGUUCCAUGUAGGACUCUCUGUGGAAAGGGUUCUACAUGGAAUCCAAAAGGAUUCUACCUGGAACCAAAAAGGAUUCUUCAAUGGGUUCUGCUAUGGGGACAGUCAAAUGACCCUUUUAGAUUCUAGAUUGCACCUUUUUUUCUAAGACUGUAGUGGUGGUGGUAACUAAUAAUAAUUCAAUUACCCUCAUUAGUGAACGUUCUAGAACAAGUGGAUUCCAACCCACAUAAUACACACAUGUCACUUUUACUCUUCACCCAAACACGGCAAACUUUGACCUCUAAGCCUCUCUGACCAUUGACCCUUCUCUGCCAUGAAACCUGUCUUGAAUUCCACUGAGGGGUUGACUAAGCCUGUAUCCUCCCCUUAGAAGGUAGAGUACCACAGACCUACACUCAGGUCUGUAGCACUGGCUGUCUGAUGGGUGUCUGAUUAAUGUUGGUGAAUCUGCAGCCACCCCUAUAUUCCUCCCCCAGCCCUCAUCCUACACCACCAUACUUCAAGAGGAUAUGUUUACAAACAGUGGGGUAGAGAUACACCAUGUUUAAAAGCAGGUGCCUGGUUAUCUCUGCCUUCAUAUAGCUUCAAAGAGACCCAAAAGGGGCUCAGAGGUGGGACUGUGCCUUAGAUGGUUGGACACAUCACGGGCCUUGGUAUUGCCAAUAAGGAGGAGGGUGCAUAGCACAGUACACCAUACGCAGCUGUAUUAUCUGAGGUGCAUAUUCUGAAAACAAAUUCAAACGUAAAACUGUUAAACACAGAAUACCAGUGGGAAGGAAUUAUACCUUCAUGGUUAAAUUAGCCAUUUCAAAAGCACUAAUGUAAGCUUCCUGCACUGUCAUGUCCCUUUUUUUAUUUUAUGUUUUACCAUUGCACACUUCUUUCCAAUCUCCCCCCCAAAAAGAAUGGGGCUUUGAGUAUUUUUUUCUCCAAAAAAAAGCAUUCCUGUGAAGAUUAAAAUGGAAGGUCCCAGGUGGCGGGUCCCCUGAACCAGCCCUCUAACAGCCUGAGUGACUCCUCAACAGACCCUCUACUACUUUGGCAUCAGCUGCUGAGCGGCAGUAGUAGUGGUAGUGGUAGUGGUAGUGGUAGAGGUAGUGGUAGUGGUAGUGGUAGUGGUAGAGGUAGUGGUAGUGGCAGUGGUAGUGGUAGAGGUAGUGGUAGAGGUAGUGGUAGUGGUAGUGGUAGAGGUAGUGGUAGAGGUAGUGGUAGUGGUAGAGGUAGUGGUAGAGGUCGUGGUAGUGGUGGAGGUAGUGGUAGUGGUAGUGGUAGUGGUAGUGGUAGAGGUAGUGGUAGUGGUAGUGGUAGUGGUAGAGGUAGUGGUAGAGGUAGUGGUAGUGGUAGUGGUAGAGGUAGUGGUAGUGGAAGAGGUAGUGGUAGUGGUAGUGGUAGAGGUAGUGGUAGUGGUAGUGAUUGUGGUAGUGGUAGUGGUAGUAGUGAUAGUGGUAGUGGUAGUGGUAGUGGUAGUAGCUGUACACAUAGCAGGCAGGCUAGGUGCUCUCUGGCUCUGUAGGCUUCGAUCUCUCUACAGGUUACUCAGACUGAUAAUGCAGAGCCUCAGCUGCUCCUGGCCAGAAAGAGAUGCCAUUUACACAGCCAUUUUCUCUGUCUCAGUGUACACACACACAGUGUACACACACACACACACACACACACACACACACACACACACACACACACACACACACACACACACACACACACACACACACACACACCGAGGUGUCAUGCCCAUAGGGGGUAUCAUGCCCGCUCAGAUGUAUCCUGUUUAAAAUAUAUUUAUUAAAAAUAUAUAUACAGUACCAGUCAAUAGUUU
ensembl:lncRNA